GAUGAACGCUGGCGGCGUGCCUAACACAUGCAAGUCGAACGGAGUCCAACCUCUAAGACCUUCGGGUCAAAGAGGGGAAGACUGAGUGGCGGACGGGUGAGUAACACGUGGGCAACCUGGCUCAUAGAGGGGGAUAACAGAGAGAAAUUUCUGCUAAUACCGCAUAAGCACACACUGCCGCAUGGCAGAGGGUGAAAAGAGAAUCGCUAUGAGAUGGACCCGCGUCUGAUUAGCCAGUUGGCAGGGUAAGAGCCUACCAAAGCGACGAUCAGUAGCCGAUCUGAGAGGAUGAACGGCCACAUUGGGACUGAGACACGGCCCAAACUCCUACGGGAGGCAGCAGUGGGGGAUAUUGCACAAUGGGGGGAACCCUGAUGCAGCGACGCCGCGUGAGUGAAGAAGUAUUUCGGUAUGUAAAGCUCUAUCAGCAGGGAAGAUAAUGACAGUACCUGAAUAAGAAGCCCCGGCUAACUACGUGCCAGCAGCCGCGGUAAUACGUAGGGGGCAAGCGUUAUCCGGAUUUACUGGGUGUAAAGGGAGCGUAGACGGAAUGGCAAGUCUGAAGUGAAAUGCCCGGGCUCAACCCGGGAACUGCUUUGGAAACUGUCGAUCUGGAGUGUUGGAGAGGUAAGUGGAAUUCCUGGUGUAGCGGUGAAAUGCGUAGAGAUCAGGAAGAACACCGGAGGCGAAGGCGGCUUACUGGACAAAGACUGACGUUGAGGCUCGAAAGCGUGGGAAGCAAACAGG
rnacentral:rRNA from 1 species